rnacentral:rRNA from 1 species
UACGAAGGGGGCUAGCGUUGCUCGGAAUCACUGGGCGUAAAGCGCACGUAGGCGGCUUGUUAAGUCAGGGGUGAAAUCCUGGAGCUCAACUUCGGAACUGCCUUUGAUACAGCACGUCUUGAGUCCGGAAGAGGUGAGUGGAAUUCCUAGUGUAGAGGUGAAAUUCGUAGAUAUUAGGAGGAACACCGAUGGCGAAGGCGGCCCACUGGUCCGGUACUGACGCUGAGGUGCGAAAGCGUGGGGAGCGAACAGG